rnacentral:misc_RNA from 1 species
UCACGUCUUACGACGGCAGUUUCAGUAGAGUUCCCAGCGUUACCUGAUGGCAACUACUGAUGGGGGUUGCGCUCGUUGCGGGACUUAACCCAACACCUCACGGCACGAGCUGACGACAGCCAUGCAGCACCUGUGCAUGCUCCCCUUGCGGGGUCGUCCCACUUUCAUGGUUCUACCACCUACAUGUCAAGGCCAGGUAAGGUUCUUCGCGUUGCAUCGAAUUAAGCCACAUACUCCACCGCUUGUGCAGGCCCCCGUCAAUUUCUUUGAGUUUUAAUCUUGCGACCGUACUUCCCAGGCGGCGUAUUUAUCGCGUUGGCUCCGCCACGAGUGGGGUCGAUUCCACUCACAGCAAAUACGCACCGUUUACGGCUAGGACUAC